ACUCAAAUGAAUUGACGGGGACUCGCACAAGCGGUGGAUUAUGUGGCUCAAUUCGUCGACAAACGAAGAACCUUACCAAGGUUAGAAAUCCAGCUGCAUUCUUGAUGAAAGUCGAGAAGCCUUCGAGGGUGCUGGACAGGUGAUGCAUGGUCGUCGUCAGUUCGUGGUUUGAACUGUUCCCUUCAGUGGGGUAACGAACGCAACCCCCGUUGUCUGUUGCCUAUAUGGUCAGACGAGACUGCUCCCUCACGGGAGAGGAAGGUGGGGAUGACGCCAGAUCAGCAUGUCCCUCUGAUACCUUGGGCUGCACACAUAAUACAAUGGUCGGUACAAAGGGAUGCAAGACCGCAAGGUGGAGCAAAUCCCUAAAACCGUCCUCAGUACGGAUUGAGGUCUGCAAUCGACCUCAUGAAGCUGGAAUCGCUAGUAAUCCUGGGUCAGCCAAACCAGGGUGAAUACGUUCUCGAGUCUUGUACACACCGCCCGU
rnacentral:rRNA from 1 species